GAUUGGAAAUGGAGGCCCCCAUGAUGUCUUAGAGGAUUGGAAGAGAACUGUGGUCAUCCACAUAUCUGAGCACCAUGAACAGACUAGCUACAGGAUCAGUGCACCCUGCUGUAAAAAGCCAGCUGCAAUGAAACACUUUUGAAUGGAGAAGCAUCUGGAGGUUGAAGAUAUCAGAGAAGCUUCCCGCUGGUCUGGAAAGGAGAUCAGUUAUGCCUGAGGAAACAGAACCUACAAAUAACCAAAGCACUCCUUGGUAAGGGCCUUAUGCCCACCACCAUUUUUGCGAGGUAACUUUGCCAUGCAUUCACUAUCUACCUGAGUGAUGGCUGCUGUCUUCUUCUAUGUUGGUUUAUUUUCUGUCUCACCUUUGCUCAUCUGUGAUGAUCUGGAAAGUGGACAGUAGCAUGAGAAAUCACCUAAUCUUAAGAAAGAGUAAAAUGCAACCCAGAAAAUUAUUGCCUAAAGUGAGAUUAGAAUUUCUUGACUUUUAAAAGACUGGGCUGGAGCAAACCUAGAUAUCAAGAAAAAUUCUCUUCAGUAAGAGCCGAUAUGAUAAAACCUGAAAUUAUGUAUCAUGGGGAAUAAGUUGUAGGUAGGUUGGUGGUUGGUAGACAUAAGGUAUACAUUUUAUUCUAGUUUUGGAUCAUAUCAAGAUCAUGAGGCUAUUUUCUCAAGGGGGGAAAACAUGUCCUACCUAACAAGUCUCUCUAUUAGAUGGGGAAUGUGAUGGAGUAAGGGGAAUGGCAAAAGAAAGACAUUGAUUUGGAGGGGGAGGGGCACUUGCUUGCUGAGUGCAGAGAGGACUGAGUAGUUAACUGUCAGUGGCAAAAAUAACUGCCAUCCUGGGAGGUGAAAGUGUGGGGAGGGGGACAGAAUGGAGCACACAUCAGAGCUCCGUGGGCAAAAGCUGCUCUCAUGAGGAAGCCACACUGUUUCUGACCCAAUCUAAAGAGUGGCCUGGUGAACAAGGCGCUCUGUGCUUUUGGUUCCUACCAGUGAUGGCUGGGAAUAAAGAAGGUUAGAACAAAAGAAAACAUCUCACUUCCCUGCCAAUUCCAGGCUUUCACCAAAGCUGAGGUCUACAUUUGCAAGUCUCUAGCACUGUGCCUGAGAAUUUCUAACUAUUCAAUACCUGUGUGUGUGUGAAAACAUAAAAUUUUGUUCUCCAUUUUUUUCUUCUCAGUUAACCUGGCUAUAAGAUGAUUCCUGUGCUAUAGCUGCUGGAGGUAGCCUGAUCAAAAAACACCGCAAUUGUGGAGAUGAUUGAUUCUUCUUUUUAUCACCUGUAAUACCCCUAUCUUUCCUCCAUGAAACCAUUAAAGGGAGCAGUUGUGUACAAAAUGUAUUCUACACAGGUCCCACGCAGAGGAGUUAGAGGGAGGAUUUAAUACACAAGAAAAGAGGUUCCUGGUGUCCUGAGGGGCAGUUCCCUCCCUGCUGGCUACUUGAGUGGGCUAAUCUUCAGCCCCCAAAUGAGGCCUAUAUGGAAAAGGAUGACAUCGAGCAAAGGGCAUAGGUGGAAACUCCCUCCCUACAACACAUCAUCUGCUACUCUCAGCUCAAAGGUUUAAAGAGAGCAAGAAGAUUUACUUCAGAUGGCCCAUGUCCCUGUCACCAUCCCCAUCUCCAUUUCUGACAGGAGUGUACAGGGAGGUGAAAAGAAGGUGGCUGUCAUUGGGAAACAAGGUAAGGGCUUGAGGAUUAAGAGGACAGCUUUGAACUGGGCUCAGCAAGCUCACUGCGUCCAAUAGAGGUCCUGCCAUGUCUUCAGUGGCCAAGUAAAACUCUCAGCUUGCUGUUCUCUGGUUUCCUAGGAUACUGGAGUUUUCUCGUGAAUUACUGAGGAUAAUGCAAUUUAACCUAAGGAAGAAACAUUUGCAGGAACUUAUCAAGGUUAUCGUGAAACUGGGUUUUACUAUUUCCUGUUCUUUACUAGGACCAUGUGUGCAAAAGGGACAUGCUGUUAAGCAGAAGAUAUUAAGAAAAGUGGUGGAGAGAGAAAGAUACUAGAAUGCUUGACAAAGAGAAUCAGAAGGCCUGUAGAUUACAUGGGAGCAGGGGAUAAGAAAAUAUGGCUAUGAUUUCAAGUGGGACUCUGGAUAGAUAAAUUCUUCAGAUAAAAAUCUGGGUAUCAGAAAGCAUGCUGGGAUAAACACGGUGAAAUGUCACUCAAGAAUUAAAUGUAGAGCAUCCCCUUGCUUCCCAAACCAUCUUUCAACAUGGCCACUUCCUAUAUAUACAAUGGCUAUGGGGCUUGGGGAAAGUCACUCUAGUUGCUGGUUAGGUUAAAUUCUGAAAAAUAUUCCACCAAAAACAAAAAAGUAGCAUGAAGAUCAAACAUAAAGAGUAAAAUAAAAUAGAAGAACUUGUUACAUAGUGUAUACAAUCUCACCACUUUUGUAGUCAUUAUACUUUAGAAGCUGAGGAUGUCUGAAAUUUAACCUAAGAAUUUCUUUUAAGUGUGUAUCAGCUGAGGGUUUUCCCCAUUUGUUCUCUGGGUCCUGUCUUGAGAGAACCGUUUCUACUCUCACUGUUCCAGGGGCACCUGGACAGAAGUAAAUAAUAAGGGAACAGAUAGUAAUUUAACAAAGAAUUAGAACAGUGAUGUUGAGGUACAGAUGCCCAGGAAUCACUCUGUCUGUAACGGAACAGCAAAAAUGACAGAAACCACUAAGAUAACUAAUGAUCAAACAGGAGAAACAAGGUUCAGAGGACAAAGAAAAGAGAAAGGAAGGGGUGGGAUUUCUAGGAAAGAGGAGCAUAGCCCCCUCCAGAGGAGAGGUAGGGUUCUAAGGACAGAGCUGAGCUGCCACAGGCUGAAACAGAGGGUGACUGUCAGGCCUUCACGACCUCCUGACGGAAGGGUACUGGGUCUGGUGUGCUGAGCUGAGUCAGGUUGGCCUCUGCUAACACCUUGAUAGGAGAAAAGAAAGCAAGCACUAUGUCCAAAUGGCAUUCCUAUAGACGAGAAAAUCAAAGUAAAAGACAUGUUUUCUUUCUCCUCAGAGAAUACAUACAUAGGAAAUUAAAUGGUAGUGAAUGAAUAAUGCUAAAGGCUAGAAAAAGUUGUAGAGAAGCAAAGAGAGGCCGAGAGCUGAGCCCACCGCAGAGGAGAUGCCCACCAUUGCUGGAUAAUUUAUUUUGGAAACAGGGCCGAGAAUGGGAAUCUGAUUUUCUGGCAAAAACCCCUAAUCUAUAAUAAGAGGCUAUCUUACCUUAGCCCAACAGAGGUCUAUAUCCUGAAAUCAUAAAGGUUCAGAAGACCAGAAUACAAGCCCAGUGUUCAGGUCAAGAGAACAAGAUCCUUGGAAUCAGACACACUGGAAUAAAAAUUGAAAUUCUUUCACUUAU